UGGAUUUUUCCUUCAGGGGGAUUGUCCGCUUCAGGUACGCGACCCUGCCUACGCGAGCUAUGGUUCAACCCCGCAUUCCUGCUGGGGUGAACCAUAUCCCCACCUGAAUCUUCCUAUCUCACCCUUUUUCCUCUGUAGUAUAAUCACAAUUUCUUUCAGAGAAUUUGAUCGGAAGUACAUAUAUAGUGGUGAAUUUCCUCCCUUUGAUGAUAUCCUCGAAAAGCAGCAGAUAAAUAGGUCGUGGUCCCAGGGAUGAGUUUUGCGAUUAAGUCGAUAAGAGUCGUUUGUUAGGUAACUUUGAAUUUUCUCAUGGUGUGCUACAGAACUUCUUUUUAUUUAUUUUUUUCAUUUGUUCUCUCAGGGAUCUGGUUAUUUUUUAAAUAUAUUUUUUAUUUUGUU